rnacentral:rRNA from 1 species
AGAUUGAACGCUGGCGGCAGGCCUAACACAUGCAAGUCGAGCGGUAGAGAGGUGCUUGCACCUCUUGAGAGCGGCGGACGGGUGAGUAAUGCCUAGGAAUCUGCCUAGUGGUGGGGGAUAACGUUCGGAAACGGACGCUAAUACCGCAUACGUCCUACGGGAGAAAGCGGGGGACCUUCGGGCCUCGCGCCAUUAGAUGAGCCUAGGUCGGAUUAGCUAGUUGGUGAGGUAAUGGCUCACCAAGGCGAACG